rnacentral:snRNA from 1 species
AUACCUUUCUCGGCCUUUUGGCUAAGAUCAAGUGUAGUAUCUGUUCUUAUCAGUUUAAUAGCUGAUAUGUGAGUCAUCAACUCACACGAUAUUAACUAAUUUUUUAAGGGGCUUGUCCAUCACGAUAGCUUGCUAUCGGGACCUUCAAGCAUCGCCUUGGUGUUGCACUACUACCUUGGUCUGGCGCACCCCAC